GAUUUCCGGUUGAUCCUGCCGGACCUGACUGCUAUCGGAUUGGUACUAAGCCAUGCGAGUCAUUGUACAAUACAAGGCGGACGGCUCAGUAACACGUAGUCAACCUAACUUAUGGACGUGGAUAACCUCGGGAAACUGAGAAUAAACCACGAUAGAUCAUUAUGCCUGGAAUGGCUUAUGGUCGAAAUAGUUUACUGCCAUGGGAUGGGACUGCGGCCUAUCAGCUUGUUGGUGAGGUAAUGGCCCACCAAGGCUAUAACAGGUACGGGCUCUGAGAGGAGAAGCCCGGAGAUGGGUACUGAGACACGGACCCAGGCCCUAUGGGGCGCAGCAGGCGAGAAACCUUAGCAAUGUGCGAAAGCACGACUGGGUCAGUCCGAGUGAUUCCUGCUAAAGGAAUCUUUUGCUUGUCCUAAAAGCACAGGUGAAUAAGGGGUGGGCAAGUCUGGUGUCAGCCGCCGCGGUAAUACCAGCACCUCGAGUGGUCAGGACGUUUAUUGGGCCUAAAGCAUCCGUAGCCGGCUCUGCAAGUCUUCGGUUAAAUCCACCUGCUCAACAGAUGGGCCGCUGGAGAUACUACAGAGCUAGGGAGUGGGAGAGGCAGACGGUAUCCAGUGGGUCGGGGUAAAUCCUCUGAUCCAUCGAGGACCA
rnacentral:rRNA from 1 species